UACGAUGUACAGUCAGUACACGGGGUUUCAAAAUAAACAAGGAUAUGAGAAAUUUACGAAAAAUAGCAACCAUGGGUUUCAAAUUCCAUUUGAAAAAUCUUCACCUACACAUCCUACCUUGUAAGAUCUUUUAUUCAGCUGUAGUUGGAGGGUUUUACAAUAAUGUCUCACCUGCGUUUUUUUUUUUUUUAAUUGCAGUACAUGUCCAGGCAGUAGGCCACAGAUAUCCGAUAGGCAAGCUAUUUUCCACACUUCAAUUAUUUAUUUUAUUUUGAUCAUUUGGCAGAUAUUCUCAGUCAGAUAAAUAUGACCUUGACUUAUUGAUAUAUUGACUUAUUGGUAGCAUUCUUGACCCACAAUUCAAUCCAUUCGUUGCCUGAAAAUCAUGAUGAUAGGACAUCACCUUGGUGACACAGGAAAUUGUAGACUGUUGUCUUCACUUUUGGAUACUUCUACUGGAGACAGCAUUCCCGCUGUAACAACAUUCAACAGCACCUGUCAUCCGUACACAGUUUCCACUGAUUUCACAAAAGGAGGCAGUUGUGGAUAACAUAGACGUCCCCGCGCAAUGACAGUGUUGAGUAACGCGUUUGUGAACAUGGACGAAUGAUCAAGUGUCCAUCGCCCCAGAUAGUUAACCCUGUUUCACUACCUCUUCACCCCGAUUGGAGCUUCAGCUUGCCUAGUUCAAGGACGGAGAAAAGAGGGAGGCAAGCCUUGGGGAAAAACAACUAGGUUCAGCCGGUUUGACAACGGGAGGCUUCAG